GGAGUAUUGGGCAAUGGAGGGAACUCUGACCCAGCGACGCCGCGUGCGGGAUGAAGGCCUUCGGGUUGUAAACCGCUUUCAGCAAGGAAGAAGCGAAAGUGACGGUACUUGCAGAAGAAGCACCGGCUAACUAUGUGCCAGCAGCCGCGGUAAUACAUAGGGUGCAAGCGUUGUCCGGAAUUAUUGGGCGUAAAGAGCUCGUAGGUGGUUCGUCACGUCGGAUGUGAAAAUCUGGGGCUUAACCCCAGACCUGCAUUCGAUACGGGCGAGCUAGAGUGUGGUAGGGGAGACUGGAAUUCCUGGUGUAGCGGUGGAAUGCGCAGAUAUCAGGAGGAACACCAAUGGCGAAGGCAGGUCUCUGGGCCAUUACUGACACUGAGGAGCGAAAGCGUGGGGAGCGAACAGGAUUAGAUACCCUGGUAGUCCACGCCGUAAACGGUGGGCACUAGUUGUGGGAACCUUCCACGGUUUCUGCGACGCAGCUAACGCAUUAAGUGCCCCGCCUGGGGAGUACGAUCGCAAGAUUAAAACUCAAAUGAAUUGACGG
rnacentral:rRNA from 1 species